rnacentral:sRNA from 1 species
AAAGCAGAUAAAAAGAGACCGAAUACGAUUCCUGUAUUCGGUCCAGGGAAAUGGCUCUUGGGAGAGAGCCGUGCGCUAAAAGUUGGCAUUAAUGCAGGCUAAGUCGCCUUGCACUAUAAGAAUAGAUGACCGUGCCAGGUUUUCCAGUCCGCGACAAAAGUGGUCAGAAAAAAAACACCGGUAAACGGCAAAGAAAUGUUAAAACCGCGGGCUUUCGCAAAGA